ensembl:snRNA
AAACUGUAUGAAAGGAGAGAAGGUCAGCUCUCCCCUGAUGAGGAUCCAAGAGCCCUCUGUCCUGAGGGGUCCAAGCACUGCCACCUGCCUCUGAGCGUCUGACCUUGCUUUAUU